rnacentral:rRNA from 1 species
AGUCGUAACAAGGUCUCCGUAGGUGAACCUGCGGAGGGAUCAUUACACAAAUAUGAAGGCGGGCUGGAACCUCUCGGGGUUACAGCCUUGCUGAAUUAUUCACCCUUGUCUUUUGCGUACUUCUUGUUUCCUUGGUGGGUUCGCCCACCACUAGGACAAACAUAAACCUUUUGUAAUUGCAAUCAGCGUCAGUAACAAAUUAAUAAUUACAACUUUCAACAACGAAUCUCUUGGUUCUGGCAUCGAUGAAGAACGCAGCGAAAUGCGAUAAGUAGUGUGAAUUGCAGAAUUCAGUGAAUCAUCGAAUCUUUGAACGCACAUUGCGCCCUUUGGUAUUCCAAAGGGCAUGCCUGUUCGAGCGUCAUUUGUACCCUCAAGCUUUGCUUGGUGUUGGGCGUCUUGUCUCUAGCUUUGCUGGAGACUCGCCUUAAAGUAAUUGGCAGCCGGCCUACUGGUUUCGGAGCGCAGCACAAGUCGCACUCUCUAUCAGCAAAGGUCUAGCAUCCAUUAAGCCUUUUUUUUCAACUUUUGACCUCGGAUCAGGUAGGGAUACCCGCUGAACUUAAGCAUAUCAAUAGGAAGUAAAAGUCG